GGCAAGAAUAUUUUGUGACAAGACCUUGGGUUCAGACUGAACAGAAGGAAGAAAAGCCCUGUUUCUGCAAUAUGUUGAACCAGUCAGUCAGCAUUUGAGCAAGCUGUUCUGUUUCACUGCUGCUCUUAGAGACAAAUCUACCGCCAUUUGUUACACAAAAGGAGAGUUACAGAUCUCUUCCCUCAGCUCUGACCCUGGGCCAGUUCUGCCAGACAACUGGACAGCAGCACAGAGGUUUCUGAGGCAUCAGGUUGACAGAAAGUAGCACAUGAUAUGCACUUUGUUCAUGGAUUCUUUUGAAGAUGAGAAACCCAGCAGUAAAUCUUCAGUUUCAAAUAGCCAUAUUUUCUGGCGUAUUUUGCAGAAAGCAGUGCCAUUUGCUUACAUGCCUUGUGUGCAUCCAGCUGCAGGUGACCCUGCCACCACAGGUAUGUGAUGACACACCUUUCUUCAGUUCCUGAUAACGCACAAGCAGUCCCUGGGGUCGCUGCUGGGAACCUCUGGCUGCUUGGUGAUUACUUGUGUUGUAAAACAGACUUACUCCUGACCUGCUUGCAAAACCAAACAGGCUGCUUUCUGGUCAGGGAAGAAAAAUACCCAACUUCUUUUCCCCAUUUGCCCAUUUGCUUUUCUCUUUCUUGCCAGCACAGGCAGACUGCUUGGUUUUCUUGAAACAGCCCACUAACGAGAACACAGAAAAAAUACUCAAUCAGACACGCCACAGGUUAAGUGAGGGCACCCCAAAGAGGAGUGCAGAGGUGUAGGUACCACAUGGAGGGCUUGCAAUAGUGGAGAUCUGUGCUCUUCAUCCUGGAAAAGGUCACAGGACCUUAUUUACUGGAUAAUUUCAGUUUAAAAAAGCCUCAUUUCCUGAUGCAGUACUCAAAUUUUGGUCAUAUUCUGGAUUCUGCCUUGGGACAAUAGACUCUAAUGUAGGAACAGAACUCAACAGAUCAAUGUUUUCUAGGGCAACAGUGGGAACCUUGGCUGAGUUGGGCAGUGAAGGACCUGCUGCUCCAAGGCUGGCAUGAACAGACUUUGCAGGUCAGUGACCUCUAGGCUUGCAGAAGAAAGCCUCAGCCCUGCUGAAAAAUGCUGUGGGGUGAAUUCAUCUGAUUUUGGGGUAGCUGAUGAAUGAAACUGUUUCUGCAGACAUUUUCCCUGGCUGUGGGACUAGCAGGGAAGUGAGGAACCUGAGCAUUCAGCUCACAACAGCCUCACCAGAAGUGAAGACUAUUGUUAGUUCAUCUUUUUGCCAGAAAGGAAAGAACAACAUGCUUAUCUUCAAAAACAGCCUGUGAGUCAUAUGCUUCAGCUCAGUAUCCCCAAGACAAAAUUUUCUGGAGAUAGUUUGGUUUUCUAUUGUACAUUACCCUGUCAGAGAAAAAAAAAAAUAUUUCUGCAGUUAUAUUCUGACUA